UAACCGACAAUUUGUGCCGUACGAAG
rnacentral:sRNA from 1 species